CUACGGGCCGCAGCAGUGAGGAAUUUUGCGCAAUGGGGGAAACCCUGACGCAGCAACGCCGCGUGAGCGAAGAAGGCCCUCGGGUCGUAAAGCUCUGUCAAGUGGGAAAAAAAUUUUUUGAUCAUUAGUCAAAAGACUUGAUGGUACCACUGGAGGAAGCACCGGCUAACUCCGUGCCAGCAGCCGCGGUAAUACGGAGGGUGCGAGCGUUGUUCGGAUUUACUGGGCGUAAAGAGCGUGUAGGCGGUUUAGCAAGUCAGAUGUGAAAGCCCUGGGCUCAACCCGGGAAGUGCAUUUGAAACUGCUUCACUAGAGUAUGGGAGAGGAGAUUGGAAUUCCUGGUGUAGAGGUGAAAUUCGUAGAUAUCAGGAGGAACACCCGUGGCGAAGGCGAUUCUCUGGACCAAUACUGACGCUGAGACGCGAAAGCGUGGGGAGCAAACAGGAUUAGAUACCCUUGUAGUC
rnacentral:rRNA from 1 species